rnacentral:rRNA from 1 species
CACGUAGGGCGCGAGCGUUGUCCGGAAUUAUUGGGCGUAAAGAGCUCGUAGGCGGCCUGUUGCGUCCGCUGUGAAAUCCCGAGGCUCAACCUCGGAACUGCCUUCGAUACUGCGGGUCUCGAGUCCGGGAGAGGUGAGUGGAAUUCCUAGUGUAGAGGUGAAAUUCGUAGAUAUUAGGAAGAACACCAGUGGCGAAGGCGGCUCACUGGCCCGGUACUGACGCUGAGGCGCGAAAGCGUGGGGAGCAAACAGG